rnacentral:lncRNA from 1 species
GUGUCCGUCAGUGUGGGGGUGUGAUCUGGCCUGAGGUCUCGCUCUGAGAAGUGGGCUCUUCCCAACACUUCCUCCACGGAGGGACAGUGGAGGGUGAAGUUAGAUCCGCUGCCAGAGCCGGAAGCUCCUGCACUGCCCGGGGCUCUGUUCCAUGCGGGUCCGGGAGAAGCAUGGCGUCAGCCCAUCUGGGCCAGGACCGGGUGCUGCCCUGCUCACAGCUUCCCCAUGAGGUGACGUGUGCCCUGAAGUUCCAGAGUCUCCGAGUUCGGGAGAGUCCACGUUUAGGUGACUGUUCUUCAAAUACCCACUUCUAAGGGAAGAGGCCUCAGCCAUUCCUGACACAGAGGUCUCCACAGGGACCACGUGUCCCACCCACAUGAACUCUGCCCAGCAGCCGGAGUCACAGAGGACACACACACCCUCCCCCACAGGUACCUGCACACCACACAUGCACUACACACCACACACACACCAUACCCACACCCAUCAUACACCACAUCCACACCACAUCCACUCACACACACCCACUCACACACACCCACUCACACACACACACACACCCCUCACCCCAGGCAGCAUUUAGAGUCCCGGCCCCAGCGCACUCUCCCUUGGACAGUGGAACCAGAGGGGCAGGAAGGGUGAUCUUCCACGGUGGGGACCGAGGAAGCCUCGAGGCCCUCAGAGGUGAGCGGGAUGGAGUUCAUGCUGGGAGUGCCUUGUGCUCUUUGCCACUUGUGUAAAUGUUGCUGUCGACCGGGUUCUGUCCCCACUGACUGUUUCCCCUUGGAGGGAGGCAUGGCCCCGUGACCAGCUCUGGCCAGUGGAUUUGACAGGUGAGAGGGGCCACAUCCCUGUGAAAGCAUCUGAGAGCCGAGUGUCUC